AUUGAACGCUGGCGGCAUGCCUUACACAUGCAAGUCGAACGGUAACAGGUCUUCGGAUGCUGACGAGUGGCGAACGGGUGAGUAAUACAUCGGAACGUGCCUAGUAGUGGGGGAUAACUACUCGAAAGAGUGGCUAAUACCGCAUGAGAUCUACGGAUGAAAGCAGGGGAUCGCAAGACCUUGUGCUACUAGAGCGGCCGAUGGCAGAUUAGGUAGUUGGUGGGAUAAAUGCUUACCAAGCCGACGAUCUGUAGCUGGUCUGAGAGGACGAUCAGCCACACUGGGACUGAGACACGGCCCAGACUCCUACGGGAGGCAGCAGUGGGGAAUUUUGGACAAUGGGCGAAAGCCUGAUCCAGCAAUGCCGCGUGCAGGAUGAAGGCCUUCGGGCUGUAAACUGCUUUUGUACGGAACGAAAAGCCCCGGGUUAAUACCCUGGGGUCAUGACGGUACCGUAAGAAUAAGCACCGGCUAACUACGUGCCAGCCGCCGCAGUAA
rnacentral:rRNA from 1 species